GAGAGCACUGCCGGUGACAUACAGAUACGCACACCCGGGGCCUUCUCUUCGGAAUUGGCGUUGGGGUGCCGGCCGAACUCCCUCCAACAGCUGAACUGCUUGGGGGAGAGCCGACCGAGGAGAGGGCGAAGGGAACUGGCUUCCGAAGGGAGGGGAAGGCCUAGUUGCACUUCCGCUGGGGGCGGGACCGCGGGCUGCGGUACCAGCUCCGCCCCUCCGCCGCGCCGGUCCGCCCCCAGCUCUCCAGGCUCCGCCUCCGCCGCUGGGCUGUGGCAACUGAGGCCCCAGCUUCAGCCCUAUGUCUGCGGACAACCCGGGUCUCCAAGGAGGGCAGUGGGCGGCUCCUUUCUCCCAUCUGGAGUUCUGCUUUAGUAUUUUAGAAUCACAGGAACACAAGCACAUACAUAGUAGCAACCUCAGCCCCGCUCGCAUGUAAGACUUUGUCAAUCUUUGAUCCUUUGGUGGGUCCUGAGACCUGACCGAACCAGGGGAUCUCAGACCUGCCCUGGGAUCUGACCAGCCGCCCCCUCAGACAGCAGGGAAUGUAUAUCCGUGCUCACAGGGUCCCACCUAUCUUUCAGGAAGGAAAAAACAAAAGCUAACACUUUUUGAGCAUUUGCUUUGUGCUAGAUACCAAGAACUGUGUAUGAAUUAUGUCCUUACAGCAACUCUGAGGUAAGUACGAUGAAUUCCCUGCUUUAUAAAGAAAUUGAGUCCCGGAAAGAAGAAAUUGGCCUUGCCUUACUCUCAUCUCAUCCUUCCCUUUUUUUCUUCAGAUGCCUAGCAUCCCGGCCCAUAACUCUGGGGGAAUCUUGCUGGGCUUUUAUUUGCCUUAGGGGGGGAGUGUCCAGCUGGCCUGUUACCCAAAUCUGCUUGAAGCCAAGGCUUAGCUGAGCUGGAGGAGGACUUUCACAGAGGAGGAGAAAGAUUUUGGGUACUGCAGACAUAGUGCCUGCAUCUCGAGGCUUCAGCCCACCUGUGCAUUGGAGCUGAGGAGCAAUCCAAGCCUGGUGGAGUAAACCUGGGCUACUCAUCUUUCUGGCUGGGGUGACACUGUGCCCUUAGAAGCACUUGAGUUCAAGUUCUCUAUUCAAGCAUCAGUAAAGUGGCAACACGACAACAUGAGACUGAGAGAACACUGGUAGGUUUUGUAUUGCUCUUCCCUCUGCCUGGAAAACCCUUCUCCUUGGAGGAGAAAGACUGCCUGGAAAACAGUCUUCUCAUGGCUGGCUCUAUCUUACUAUUCAGACUUCAGCUCAAAUGUUGGUCGCAUUAGAGAAGCCUUCCCAGAACACUCCACAGCUGUCUGAGGCUGUGCAGUUUGUGCAUCACAAGAGCAUUAUGAGUGGGGCUGAAGUCCUGCCCAUGCUCUGCUCAUCAGGGAUGUGACAGGAGAAAGGAUCUGAAGGACUAGCGGAGACCGUGGACAUUUCUAUCUAAAUUAGCAUCCUCCCCCAAUUACCCAUUACCCACCCCAUACUGUCUCUCACAUUGUCUGCUUUUAUCUUCAUAGCAUGUGUCAGUGCUCUCUGAAAUUAUGUAUUUCCCAUACUUGAAAUUAUAUCAUUUAUCUGCUUGUUACCUGUGUCCUCCCACUGGAGUGUAAGCCUCUUUGUAAUAAAGAUUAUUUCUGUCUUGUUCCUUA